rnacentral:lncRNA from 1 species
CCUACGACCGACCCACGUAGAACCUCGGCUGCGGUUCUUGCGCGACGCUCCCCGGUUCUCGCUACCUCUUAGGGGUCGGAGUCCCGCGGCCUGCGCAGCCCGGCUCUCAGCUAACAGGAAGAAAGGGCACGACCUCAAACUGGCGAGUUGCACUCAAGCUGAGGGAAGCAGACGGAAAUCCAGGGUUCCACUGGGCCACUGCCGGUGGAAUGGCCAACCUGCAGGAGGCCAAUGGAAGCACAGCGUGGCCACCGCCCCCAGCAUCCAAUAUCAGUGAGCCCCACCAAUGCCUGCUGCUGCUGUAUGAGGAUAUCGGCUCCUCCAGGUGUUUGUGGUAGCCCUGGUUGGCAUUGCCAGGGCUGUGGUUUCUAUGACAGUCAGUGCCUCUGAUGCUGCGACAGUUGCUGAUAAGAUCCUGUGGGAGAUCACCCGCUUCUUCCUGCUGGCCAUUGAGCUGAGUGUGGUCAUCCUGGGCCUUGCCUUUGGUCACCUAGAGAGCAAGUCCAGCAUCAAGCGGGUACUGGCUAUCACCACAGUACUGUCUCUGGCCUACUCAGUCACCCAGGGGACUCUGGAGAUCCUGUACCCUGACUCCCAUCUGUCAGCUGAGGAUUUCAACAUCUAUGGCCAUGGUGGCCGCCAGUUCUGGCUUGUCAGCUCUUGCUUCUUUUUCCUGGUGAGGUCUGGCGUGCUCCCUGGGGGCAGGUGAAGUAGCCUGGCCCGGCCCGGCCUCCCUGUCACCCCUAUCUCUGCAG